AUAAGGGAGUUCAAGAAUUUGGAGACAAAAGGGGUUCCAUUCCCAAAGAGCCAACCCAUGAGAAUAUACUCUAGUCUUUGGAACGCUGAGGAUUGGGCCACAAGGGGUGGGCUUGUGAAAACGGAUUGGAGCAAGGCCCCAUUCACAGCCUCUUACAGAAACUUCAAUUCCCAAACCUCUUCCUCCACUGGCCAAUCACUGGACGCCACGGGGCAGGCAAAGAUCCGUUGGGUGCAAAAGAAUUACAUGAUUUACAAUUAUUGCACUGAUAUCAGACGUUUCCCUCAAGGCCUUCCUCCAGAAUGCUCCAUUGCAUGAGAAUAUUU
rnacentral:lncRNA from 1 species